UGAACGCUAGCUACAGGCUUAACACAUGCAAGUCGAGGGGCAGCAUGGUCUUAGCUUGCUAAGGCCGAUGGCGACCGGCGCACGGGUGAGUAACACGUAUCCAACCUGCCGUCUACUCUUGGACAGCCUUCUGAAAGGAAGAUUAAUACAAGAUGGCAUCAUGAGUCCGCAUGUUCACAUGAUUAAAGGUAUUCCGGUAGACGAUGGGGAUGCGUUCCAUUAGAUAGUAGGCGGGGUAACGGCCCACCUAGUCUUCGAUGGAUAGGGGUUCUGAGAGGAAGGUCCCCCACAUUGGAACUGAGACACGGUCCAAACUCCUACGGGAGGCAGCAGUGAGGAAUAUUGGUCAAUGGGCGCAGGCCUGAACCAGCCAAGUAGCGUGAAGGAUGACUGCCCUAUGGGUUGUAAACUUCUUUUAUAAAGGAAUAAAGUCGGGUAUGUAUACCCGUUUGCAUGUACUUUAUGAAUAAGGAUCGGCUAACUCCGUGCCAGCAGCCGCGGUAAUACGGAGGAUCCGAGCGUUAUCCGGAUUUAUUGGGUUUAAAGGGAGCGUAGAUGGAUGUUUAAGUCAGUUGUGAAAGUUUGCGGCUCAACCGUAAAAUUGCAGUUGAUACUGGAUAUCUUGAGUGCAGUUGAGGCAGGCGGAAUUCGUGGUGUAGCGGUGAAAUGCUUAGAUAUCACGAAGAACUCCGAUUGCGAAGGCAGCCUGCUGAGCUGCAACUGACAUUGAGGCUCGAAAGUGUGGGUAUCAAACAGGAUUAGAUACCCUGGUAGUCCACACGGUAAACGAUGAAUACUCGCUGUUUGCGAUAUACAGCAAGCGGCCAAGCGAAAGCGUUAAGUAUUCCACCUGGGGAGUACGCCGGCAACGGUGAAACUCAAAGGAAUUGAA
rnacentral:rRNA from 1 species